rnacentral:rRNA from 1 species
GGAUUAGAUACCCUGGUAGUCCACGCCGUAAACGAUGUCUACUAGCCGUUGGGGAGCUUGUCUCUUUAGUGGCGCAGCUAACGCACUAAGUAGACCGCCUGGGGAGUACGGUCGCAAGAUUAAAACUCAAAUGAAUUGACGGGGGCCCGCACAAGCGGUGGAGCAUGUGGUUUAAUUCGACGCAACGCGAAGAACCUUACCUACUCUUGACAUCCAGAGAAUUCGCUAGAGAUAGCUUAGUGCCUUCGGGAGCUCUGAGACAGGUGCUGCAUGGCUGUCGUCAGCUCGUGCCG